CUUAGUAUUCAGGUAACUAUUGGUUGGCUUCCUUUGCUCUGACCACCAAAACUACUAAUUUUUGGUUGUAGUGUUUUCUCCAAAGCUGGAUUUUUUGGUUCACUAUUAUGCGAACAGUCGUGUUUAUUUUCGUUAUAAUUACUAAAGCUUAGUUCCUUUUCUGAAAAAAAAAAGUGAAAGGUAGAACAUACAACUAAUGCAAAAACAGGCACUUUAUUAUAAUCUCUUAGUAUUCAGGUAACUCUUGGAUCAUGCCAUAACAUCAAGAUCCACAUGAACAAUGGACGACCAUAAGAAUCACCAACAGCAAAGUGGUAAGAUAAACAGAUUCAAAGGUCAAAAGGUAACAAAAUAAAAAUCUCGGACAGUCGCGUCGCUUCAGUGCAUCUCCCACAAAAAUUUCUUGUAGCGGCAUCAGGUUAGGGUUUAGGGAGAUAAAAUAAGAGGUGGAAUCCGCAAUCACAGGGAUACUACUCUAUUUGAAUACAAUUCGAACAAGA
rnacentral:lncRNA from 1 species